rnacentral:tRNA from 3 species
GCCGGCGUAGCUCAACGGUAGAGCAGCUGACUUGUAAUCAGCAGGUUGCGGGUUCAAAUCCCAUCGCCGGCUCCA